rnacentral:lncRNA from 1 species
GAAAGCACCAUUUUUCCCAGGGCAAUCCUGACUCUCCCCACCUGGCUAUAGGCAGAUGGAGGCAGCCCCUCCUGCUUCAGAAAGCAGCAAGAGGGGCUGGCCUCCCGAAACACUUGAUCCUAUGGCCUGGGGCAGAGGUCCUGAUGGAGAUGGAUAAAACUGGAUUCCUGGAGUCAGAUGUGCCUGGGGACUCUAGAUCUUGAGACCUUCGUGGGCCAGCCACAGCCACCAUCAUGGACUGUAACACCACCUGAUCCCCAAAAAGUCGCCACCAUGCUCAUCCUCUGGUUCCUCUUCAGACUCCCACAGCUCAGUUCCUGAAGCAUAUCCUCUUGCAGCAUGGAAUGAACCAGACGUCAUGAAUGGCCACUCAGCUAUGCCAGGGCACCAGACAAGUCCUAUGGCAGUAGUCCAAGAUGAACACUCCUAACAGAAGACCAAGACCCAGUCUUAGUUGAGACCUGGGCCCCCGAAAUCUUUCUUCUGCUUCCAGAGUCUCCUUCUGGAACUCCUGCUUGGGCUCCCAGACUUUUAGUCUUUCCCAAGAAGAUAUGGCAAGACUUCAUGUCCACUAAAGAGUUGGGAGGUGGGGGUCCCAGUCUCAUCACUUCCAUCUCUCUGCAUAUCUCUGGGCAGGCUACUUCCCCUUCGGGCUUUGUAUGUGAUCUUUUGUAAAUGAGGUGACCGAGGGCAAGAAGGGGAGAAUCGGGGUGGUCCCUAUGCCAGCAAGGUCAUUGGUAACUCUUCAUAUUCCUGCGACCACACAACACUCUGCCUGCCCUUCAAGAGCUGGAACCCUUGUCUCCUUCCCUUGAAUCUGGGCUACCUUGUGAAUCGCUCUGGCCCACAGAAUAUGAAGGGAGUGACACUUCUGCCAGUUUGAAGUCUAGCCUCUGGGAGACCACGAAGCUCCCACGUCAGCCCUCUUGGAUCCCUGAGCCAUCAUCUUAAAAGGCCUGACCACCCUAUUGAAGAGACCAAAUGGGGAAACAGCAGUGGCUCAUUAACCCUCGGGUGUUCUAGCCAUCUCAGCAGAGAGGACAAACAUGCUAAGGGAUCUACUUUGGAUUUCCAAGCCCAACUGAGCUGAUAUCUGCAUAACCUUUGACAUGAGGAGGUAAGAUGAGCAGAAGAACUACCCAGCUGAGUCCUACCAUAAGUAGACCAAUUUAUGAGUAAAUAAAUGGUUGUAAAAUCACUUUCUUGGGGGCA